rnacentral:rRNA from 1 species
GACGAACCGUGCGAACGUUAUUCGGAAUCACUGGGCUUAAAGCGCGUGUAGGCGGCCCGGAGCGUCGGCAGCUGAAAUCCCCCGGCUCAACCGGGGAACGGGCUCCGAUACGUCCGGGCUGGAGGGGGGUAGGGGGAUCGGGAACUUCCGGUGGAGCGGUGAAAUGCGUUGAGAUCGGAAGGAACGCCCGCGGCGAAAGCGCGGUCCUGGACCCCACCUGACGCUGAGACGCGAAAGCCAGGGGAGCGAACGGG